CCCUUAGAUGUUCUGGGCCGCACGCGCGCUACACUGAUGCAUUCAACGAGUUUCUUCCUGGUCCGAGAGGAAUGGGUAGCCUUUUGAAAGUGCAUCGUGAUAGGGAUAGACUAUUGCAAUUAUUGGUCUUCAACGAGGAAUUCCUAGUAGACGUAGUCCAUCAGACUGCAUCGAUUACGUCCCUGCCCUUUGUACACACCGCCCGUCGCUCCUACCGAUUGAAUGCUCAGGUGAGCCAUUCGGACUUUCAUCAUGCUGGUUUCCAGUUUUGAUGAAGGAAAGUCUUGCGAACCUUAUCAUUUAGAGGAAGGAGAAGUCGUAACA
rnacentral:rRNA from 1 species